rnacentral:rRNA from 1 species
CACAGAAGAAGCACCGGCUAACUCCGUGCCAGCAGCCGCGGUAAUACGGAGGGUGCGAGCGUUAAUCGGAAUUACUGGGCGUAAAGGGUGCGUAGGUGGUUGAUUAAGUUAUCUGUGAAAUUCCUGGGCUUAACCUGGGACGGUCAGAUAAUACUGGUUGACUCGAGUAUGGGAGAGGGUAGUGGAAUUUCCGGUGUAGCGGUGAAAUGCGUAGAGAUCGGAAGGAACACCAGUGGCGAAGGCGGCUACCUGGCCUAAUACUGACACUGAGGCACGAAAGCGUGGGGAGCAAACAGGAUUAGAUACCCUGGUAGUCCACGCUGUAAA